rnacentral:rRNA from 1 species
GAUGAACGCUGGCGGCGUGCCUAAUACAUGCAAGUCGAGCGAACAGAUGAGGAGCUUGCUCCUCUGACGUUAGCGGCGGACGGGUGAGUAACACGUGGAUAACCUACCUAUAAGACUGGGAUAACUUCGGGAAACCGGAGCUAAUACCGGAUAAUAUAUUGAACCGCAUGGUUCAAUAGUGAAAGACGGUUUUGCUGUCACUUAUAGAUGGAUCCGCGCCGCAUUAGCUAGUUGGUAAGGUAACGGCUUACCACGGCAACGAUGCCUAGGCGACCUGAGAGGGUGAACGGCCACACUGGAACUGAGACACGGUCCAGACUCCUACGAGAGGCAGCAGUAGGGAAUCUUCCGCAAUGGGCGAAAGCCUGACGGAGCAACGCCGCGUGAGUGAUGAAGGUCUUCGGAUCGUAAAACUCUGUUAUUAGGGAAGAACAAAUGUGUAAGUAACUAUGCACGUCUUGACGGUACCUAAUCAGAAAGCCACGGCUAACUACG